rnacentral:rRNA from 1 species
GACAGAGGGUGCAAACGUUGUUCGGAAUUACUGGGCGUAAAGCGCGUGUAGGCGGCUUUGCAAGUCGGGUGUGAAAUCCCACGGCUCAACCGUGGAAGUGCACUCGAAACUGCAAGGCUAGAGUCCUGGAGAGGAAGGUGGAAUGCUUGGUGUAGAGGUGAAAUUCGUAGAUAUCAAGCGGAACACCGGUGGCGAAGGCGGCCUUCUGGACAGUGACUGACGCUGAGACGCGAAAGCGAGGGGAGCAAACGGG